GGCCGCCUGGCGAAAUGGCAUCGCGUCUGACUACGAUUGCGCGUGUGCAUCUAAUCGAAAUCAGGAGAUUGCAGGUUCGACCCCUGCGGUGGUCA